GUUCCUUCGGGAACAUUCUACAAAAUUAGAACGAUGCAAUGAAGAUUAGUAUGACUCUUGUGCAAGGAUGACAUGCAUGAAUUGAGAGUUAGCAUAUAAUCAAUUAUU